GAAGUCCAGCGCCUCAGGAAGGCGCCUGCGUCGAGAAGGCGGGGAAGCAUGGACAGUCCCCGCUCUUUUCCCUCAUGGAGCAGAGGGAUGUGGGCACCUUCCCCUUGGCGCCGGCUUGGCGGGCGAAGCUAACGGCCGCCGGUUUCCAGACGGCCCAGGAGGUGCUGGAGGUCGGGCCUUGCCAGCUGAGCAAAGAGAUUGGCAUUUCUAAAGAGGAUGCCCUAGAAAUUUUAAAGGUGAUCAGACGGGGACGGCAGAGUGAUGGAGCAAAGCCUUCUGAGGAACCGGAAACCUCUAGGAAAUAUACAGCUCUGGAACUUUUGGAAAAGGAGCAGACUCAAGGUUUCAUCAUCACCUUUUGCUCUGCACUGGAUGACAUCCUCGGUGGGGGUGUGCAGCUAACCAAAAUUACCGAGAUCUGCGGAGUGCCAGGUGUCGGGAAAACACAACUGUGCAUGCAACUGGUGGUGGAUGUUCAGAUUCCAGAAUGCUUUGGUGGACUUGCUGGAGAAGCCGUAUUCAUCGAUACCGAGGGGAGCUUUAUGGUGGACCGAGUGGUGGAAAUAGCAGAAGCCUGCAUUCAUCACUGUCGGCUUAUUGCUGAAAUGCACCCAGAAGAAGAUCAUCAAAUAGCCCUGGAGACUUUCUCUCUUGAAAAUAUUCUUUCACAUAUCUAUUACUUCCGUUGCCAUGACUAUAUGGAGUUGCUGGCACAGAUUUACCUCCUCCCAGAUUUCCUCUCUGGACACUCAAAGGUACAGUUGAUUGUGAUUGAUGGAAUUGCCUUUCCUUUCCGCCAUGACUUUGAAGAUCUUUCGCUGCGAACAAGACUUUUGAAUGGCCUGGCUCAACAGUUGAUUUGUAUUGCAAAUGACCACACAUUAGCGGUAGUGUUGACCAAUCAUAUGACUACACGCUUUGAACAAAGUCAUUCCUCUUUGGUACCUGCCUUAGGGGAAAGCUGGGGUCAUGCGGCUACCAUCCGUUUAAUUUUGCACUGGAAUAACAAACAGAGGUUGGCAGUAUUGUACAAGUCUCCAAGUCAGAAGGAGUCAACAGUACCCUUUUGCAUUACAUCGCGUGGAUUCAGAGAUGUUCAGCUUUCACGUUCAGAUCUGAUCCCAGCAGAAAACGAAGCAAAUCCUUGUAAAAGGCCACGGAUAGAACAGGUGGAAGAACCGUGAAUCAGAAAAGUUAAUUUCAACCGUGCUUCCAUUUGAAAAUGACAGUACUACAGGUGGAUAUCAAGGUCAGUUUUGUCUUACGGUCUGAAGCAGGAAGAGGUUUUCAGCCCAUGUCCUGGUUCUGGAUAUUGAAGCUUUUGCAUAACAGACGUUGGCGGGGAAGCAUUUGCAUUUCAUUUCCUCUUGAGCUGAGUUUUUUUCCCUACAUUAUACUGCCUACGUGUACGCGGGCACGCAUACGCACGAGAAUCGGUGAGGUACUGCUUAGUGAAUUUGGAAAGGAGCAUUCUCCUUCUUUGUUGCCCUAGAAGCAAGACCAGAACCAGCGGAUUGAAACUAGAAGGAAGGAAGUUCAGGCGUAACGUCAGAGACUUCCUGCUUGUACAAGCUGCCAGCCGGUGGAACGGGCUGCCACAUGACAUGGUGAUCUUUUUGCAGAUCUUCAAACAGAGGUUGGAUGGUCCUCUCUCAGAGAUG